rnacentral:lncRNA from 1 species
UGGGGGGCUGGGGUAGUAUCUUCAACAUGCUGAGCUGCCGGCAAUACUCGGACUCCAGCAAACUCAGACAACCUCCGCAACUCCUCCUUAUGCCCCUCCAAUGCCUCAUCCAGAAAGGGCACAUCAAAAUCAGGCCUCUCCUCCUGAUGUGCCCCACCAACUCCUCCAGUGCUACCACAUAGACAUCCUGGGCUAUGCGUCAAACUCGGAGGACUCCUUCCAGGCUUCCACCGCUCUGUCAAUCUUGGUCUCAGCCUCUUCAGCCCUUUUGGUGGCCUGCCUUGCCCUUUCGUUGGCCUCUUGUACCUUCUCGAUGCCUCUCUGACUUUGCCCCGCUCCUCUUCUACCCGACCUCUGGCCUUUUCCUCCGAGGCCCUCAAUGCCUUGAUCUCCUCCAUCAAUCUCUCCUUGACAUCAAGCCUGGAGUUCAGCUCGAUCCCUAUCUGGUUCAGCUUCUCUUCAUACUCCUUCUCCCUCAGAGCGAACUGGGCCUUUUCAGCCUCCAUGCUGUUGUAAAGAUUGAAGGCAUAAUCCUUUGCCUCUAUGAGUUUGUCC